CUUUCUGUGAUGAGUGGCCAUAUUAAAACAGUGUAUUCUGGGAUGUGACUCAUUUUUUAAGUGAUGUAAACAAAACUAAGGCUGUUUAUGCUUUCUGUGAAAAAAAAAGAGAGAAUGUGAUUUUUGUGGUAUGAGUAAGCUGUGAGAAGGGUUCCCACAUCGAGUUCCAGUUUGACUUUGGUGAUGGUACGACUACAGUGGUACAGGGGAGAGAGGAGAUGUUUCUUAACUACGUCAAAGGCAGCACGUCUCACAGAUAUACACAGAAGGGAGUGUUUAACAUUACGGUGACAGCAAUAAAUCCCCUUGGCAACAGAACAGCAACACUUGACGGGCUGUUCUAUGUACAGGCCUCACCGUUUGGAUUAAAGCUGGAUAAAUCCAUUUACUCCACAAAACUUGGUGAUGUCACUGUUAUGCGUGCUACUUUCUCUCAUGGUACCAAUGAAACAUUUGACUGGAAGCUUGGAGACCAGACUGAUAUACUCAA